UACGUAGGGUGCAAGCGUUAAUCGGAAUUACUGGGCGUAAAGCGUGCGCAGGCGGUGAUGUAAGACAGUUGUGAAAUCCCCGGGCUCAACCUGGGAACUGCAUCUGUGACUGCAUCGCUGGAGUACGGCAGAGGGGGAUGGAAUUCCGCGUGUAGCAGUGAAAUGCGUAGAUAUGCGGAGGAACACCGAUGGCGAAGGCAAUCCCCUGGGCCUGUACUGACGCUGAGGAGCGAAAGCAUGGGGAGCGAACAGG
rnacentral:rRNA from 1 species